rnacentral:rRNA from 1 species
CCUACGGGAGGCAGCAGUGGGGAAUAUUGCACAAUGGGGGAAACCCUGAUGCAGCAACGCCGCGUGAGUGAAGAAGUAUUUCGGUAUGUAAAGCUCUAUCAGCAGGGAAGAAGAUGACGGUACCUGAGUAAGAAGCCAAGGCUAACUACGUGCCAGCAGCCGCGGUAAUACGUAGGGGGCAAGCGUUAUCCGGAUUUACUGGGUGUAAAGGGAGCGUAGACGGUGAGACAAGUCUGAAGUGAAAGCCCGGGGCUCAACCCCGGGGCUGCAUUGGAAACUGGCAGGCUGGAGUGCCGGAGAGGCAGGCGGAAUUCCUAGUGUAGCGGUGAAAUGCGUAGAUAUUAGGAGGAACACCAGUGGCGAAGGCGGCCUGCUGGACGGUGACUGACGCUGAGGCUCGAAAGCGUGGGGAGCAAACAGGAUUAGAUACCCUGGUAGUC